GAAAUGCAACUGGGUGCAGUGACACACGCCUAUAGUCCCGGUUACUAGGAGGCUAAGGCAGAAGGAUCCCAUGAGUCCACGAGUUUGAAACCACCCUGAGCAACACAGUGAGAACCAGUCUCAAAAGAAAGGAAAAAAGAAGAUGAAGGAAGAUGAAGGAAGGAAGGAAGGAAGGAAGAAGAGGGAGUGAGGGAAAGGGGAAAGAAAGAAAAAAUGCAGCAUGUUCAAGUUAUUAUAAGGAAGAAAUUCUAGUUUUAGAUAAAGGUAGGAGAGGGUAAAUGUUGAGGAUGAAUCACUGGAAGAGUCAAACAGUGGAACAAUUUUCCCUGGAAUUCUGCCUGAGUGCAAUGGGCAUUAGAAAGAGCAUUACUGUGGUGGUAACACUGAAAGUGCUUGCAGUGUCAAAUAACAAGUGUUCUGGUGACCUAGUAGUCAUACGGAUCCAUCCAUUCGGACAUCCAAAUCAUGGGAAAGGAAGCCAAAAAUUCAAGGUAAAAUGUUUUUUUAAAAACUGAAUAAAUAAAUGUCUCU
rnacentral:lncRNA from 1 species